AUUACCUGAGUAGGCUGAACCAUCAGUGAAAAAGAGGCCAAACAUCUCAAAAAUAGGACACCUGAGAGUAUGGAGCCAACGUGACACUCAGAUCGGACACACACAGAAGCGUGAAAAGCUCCUGUGCAACUGGGAUUGCUCCUCUGCAGUAAGAACACACCUGGGAUAGUGUACUGAAAAGAUGUGAGAAAUGCGUGAAGCAGAGUCCAGUCAUCUUAGUCAAGAACCAGCUGCGAAUCUAACCACUAGACUUUGAGGCAAGUCCAGACCAAGGCCAAGGAACCACUGGCCUUAAAGACUGACCUGCAGGUUACUAAGCUAAAUAAAAGUUUAUUGUUGAAGGUCACUGAGUUGUUUUUGUGUCCUACAGAUAUUAAUGUGGCAACAGAUAACUAAUAUACCUGCCAAGGUUCUGAGCCUGAGACGUGUUUUUCUCUUUGCUAAAAAGAUAGAUUAGAACAAGGGUCUCCAACCCCCAGGCCACAGUCUGGUACAGGUCUGUGGCCUAUUAGGAACUGGGCAAGCUGGCAUUACCACCUGAGUUCUGCUUCCUGUCAGGUCAGCAGCGGCAUUAGAGUCUCAUAGGCACACAAACCCUGUUGUGAGCUGCAUAUGCAAAGAAUCUAGGUUGUGUGCUUUUUGUCAGAAUCUAAUUUUGAUGAUCCCCAGGCGGAACAGUUUCAUCUAGAAACCAUCCCCCUACUCAGCCUGGGAAAAAAUUGUCUUCCACGAAACUGGUCCCUGGUGCCAAAAAGGUUGGGGACUGCUGUCAUAGAGUUUACUUACACAAAUCUAGAUGGUAUAGCCUGUUACACACCUAGGCUACAUGGUAUAGCCUAUAGCUCCUAAGCUACAAUCCUGUACGGCUUGUUACUAUAUUGAAUGCUGUGGACAAUUGUAACACAAUGGUAUUUGUGUAUCUAAACAUACCUAAAAAUAGAAAAGAUACA